rnacentral:lncRNA from 1 species
CUUGUCACAACCAGACACGUCAUGGUUUGAUAUCUGAGGGUAACACAGAAGAAAAACUGCCUAUUUAUCAUUGUUACGGAGAAGAAGACACACAAGAAGAUGGCACGGGAGAGCUAAUGAUGGCAAACAAAGGCCACUCGCUUAUGGUUCGGCGUUCGUGCAUGGGUCAUCAAUGCCUAGACGAACUAUAUAAUUAUUAAACAUCCUUACGGACUAGGAUAAGAAUUAUUUAGAUUUGUAUGGAUAGCGGCUUUAGUCUUUGUAAACAUUGAUCUUAUUAUUAUUUAUCAAACUUGAAAUUGCAAUCAAGAGCUUUAUAGAACGUAGAGGAGUACUCUAAACCCUAUUUUGACUUGUUGAGAAUAUCACCAAGAUCUCUAACUUGUGCCGAAUGAUUCUAUUUGAGCAGAAUAUUUGUAAACCAUUGUGUGGUAUUAGUUGCAUUCUGGUAUACCAAUAGCAUUUAUCACGAGAACAAAGUCCAAUAUACUUCUCCUGUCAAAAGAAUCCCAUAUACCCCCUCCUUUUUCAUUUUUAUUUUUCUUUAUUUGUUUUGAAAAAUAUUAAAAGACCAAGAAAUCACACAAACCUAACUAAUUACAACUUUACCAAUCUGAC